rnacentral:rRNA from 1 species
AUCAACUUUCGAUGGUAGGAUAGUGGCCUACCAUGGUAUCAACGGGUAACGGGGAAUUAGGGUUCGACUCCGGAGAGGGAGCCUGAGAAACGGCUACCACAUCCAAGGAAGGCAGCAGGCGCGCAAAUUACCCAAUCCCGACACGGGGAGGUAGUGACAAUAAAUACUGAUACAGGGCUCUUUUGGGUCUCGUAAUUGGAAUGAGUACAAUUUAAAUCCCUUAACGAGGAACAAUUGGAGGGCAAGUCUGGUGCCAGCAGCCGCGGUAAUUCCAGCUCCAAUAGCGUAUAUUAAAGUUGUUGCAGUUAAAAAGCUCGUAGUUGAAUUUCGGGAUUGACACAUCGGUCGUGCCUUAAGGGGUAUGAACUGGUGUAGUCAAUUUCUCACCUUCUGGAGAACCGCGAUGCCCUUAAUUGGGUGUCGCGGGGAACCAGGACCUUUACUUUGAAAAAAUUAGAGUGUUUAAAGCAGGCAUUUUGCUUGAAUACAUUAGCAUGGAAUAAUAAAAUAGGACGGCAUGAUUCUAUUUUGUUGGUUUCUAGGAUCACCGCAAUGAUUAAUAGGGAUAGUUGGGGGCAUUAGUAUUCAAUUGUCAGAGGUGAAAUUCUUGGAUUUAUUGAAGACUAACUACUGCGAAAGCAUUUGCCAAGGAUGUUUUCAUUAAUCAAGAACGAAAGUUAGGGGAUCGAAGACGAUCAGAUACCGUCGUAGUCUUAACCAUAAACUAUGCCGACUAGGGAUCGGGCGAUGUUGUUUCAAUGACUCGCUCGGCACCUUAUGGGAAAACCAAAGUGUUUGGGUUC